UUAGAUACCCUAUUAUACUGAUGAGGAUAAUGAUAAACCUKRAGUAUUAAUAGAUAUAGUCUUUAAAUUUGAAGAAUUUGGCGGUGAUUUAAUCUUGUUAGAGGAACCUGUUUUUAAAUCGAUAAACCACGUGAAAUCUUACCUGUUUUAAUGAGCUUAUAUACCGUCAUUAUCAGAUAAUUUUAAGAAAAGUAAUUAUUAAAGUUUAAUUAAUUAUAAAUGAAAUUAGAUCAAGGUGUAGCUUAUAAACAGGUUAAAAUGGGUUACAAUAAAAUUUAUUUACUACGGAUUAGUUAUAAAAGAAAAGUACUAUGAAGGAGGAUUUAAUUGUAAUUUAAAUUUAAUAAGUUWAAAAGAUAUAAGCUCUAAAUCAUGUACAUAUCGCCCGUCG
rnacentral:rRNA from 1 species